CGACCCUCAGUCGUCCGGUGGAGCGGGUGUUAUAACGGCUUUCAUGCCUUUCAAAGUUGUUGUUCGGAGUACAACUGUUCAAUUAAAGGUUUUAGUGGAUUAUAUGGCGACAAACUCACAGGACCACUUCGGCCCAACAAUUGGAAAAAGCAUAGAUUGCCCUCACUUCUAAAUUAGAAAACCAUGAUCCUAAGAACUAAAAUAAUCGAAACAUAUCAGUUGUAAUAAUUUGUCAUGAAUUUGAGUUAAGUCAUAAGUAUAUUUGGAUCGCGACCAGCCCAGCAAAGUGAUGUGAUAUGUGUUUUAUCAACAAAUAGGUUCACCCAUACC